rnacentral:rRNA from 1 species
CCCUUAGAUGUUCUGGGCCGCACGCGCGCUACACUGACGAUGUCAACGAGUCUCUCCUUGGCCGAAAGGUCUGGGUAAUCUUCUGAAACAUCGUCGUGCUGGGGAUAGAUCAUUGCAAUUUUUGAUCUUGAACGAGGAAUUCCUAGUAAGCGCGAGUCAUCAGCUCGCGUUGAUUACGUCCCUGCCCUUUGUACACACCGCCCGUCGCUACUACCGAUUGAAUGGUUUAGUGAGGACUCCUGAUUGGCGCCGCCGCCCCGGCAACGGAGCAGUGGACUGCCGAAAAGUUGUUCAAACUUGAUCAUUUAGGGGAAGUAAAAGUCGUAACA